rnacentral:rRNA from 1 species
GGUAUAGUUCUUCGGAACUUGAGACCGGCGCACGGGUGCGUAACGCGUAUGCAAUCUACCUUUUACAGAGGGAUAGCCCAGAGAAAUUUGGAUUAAUACCUCAUAGCAUAGCAGUCUCGCAUGAGAUCACUAUUAAAGUCACAACGGUAAAAGAUGAGCAUGCGUCCCAUUAGCUAGUUGGUAAGGUAACGGCUUACCAAGGCUACGAUGGGUAGGGGUCCUGAGAGGGAGAUCCCCCACACUGGUACUGAGACACGGACCAGACUCCUACGGGAGGCAGCAGUGAGGAAUAUUGGACAAUGGGCGCAAGCCUGAUCCAGCCAUGCCGCGUGCAGGAUGACGGUCCUAUGGAUUGUAAACUGCUUUUAUACGAGAAGAAACACUGCUUCGUGAAGCAGCUUGACGGUAUCGUAAGAAUAAGGAUCGGCUAACUCCGUGCCAGCAGCCGCGGUAAUACGGAGGAUCCAAGCGUUAUCCGGAAUCAUUGGGUUUAAAGGGUCCGUAGGCGGUUUAAUAAGUCAGUGGUGAAAGCCCAUCGCUCAACGGUGGAACGGCCAUUGAUACUGUUAAACUUGAAUUAUUAGGAAGUAACUAGAAUAUGUAGUGUAGCGGUGAAAUGCUUAGAGAUUACAUGGAAUACCAAUUGCGAAGGCAGGUUACUACUAAUGGAUUGACGCUGAUGGACGAAAGCGUGGGUAGCGAACAGGAUUAGAUACCCUGGUAGUCCACGCCGUAAACGAUGGAUACUAGCUGUUGGAAGCAAUUUCAGUGGCUAAGCGAAAGUGAUAAGUAUCCCACCUGGGGAGUACGUUCGCAAGAAUGAAACUCAAAGGAAUUGACGGGGGCCCGCACAAGCGGUGGAGCAUGUGGUUUAAUUCGAUGAUACGCGAGGAACCUUACCAAGGCUUAAAUGUAGAUUGACCGGUUUGGAAACAGAUCUUUCGCAAGACAAUUUACAAGGUGCUGCAUGGUUGUCGUCAGCUCGUGCCGUGAGGUGUCAGGUUAAGUCCUAUAACGAGCGCAACCCCUGUUGUUAGUUGCCAGCGAGUCAUGUCGGGAACUCUAACAAGACUGCCAGUGCAAACUGUGAGGAAGGUGGGGAUGACGUCAAAUCAUCACGGCCCUUACGCCUUGGGC